AGCAAGAAUAUUAUAUAUUUUCCACAGAAUGCUAUAGUCAUUCAGCAGUGCUAUGUUUUCUUUCUGAGGAGAUACAAGA
rnacentral:snoRNA from 1 species